rnacentral:rRNA from 1 species
UACGGGGGGAGCAAGCGUUGUUCGGAUUUACUGGGCGUAAAGGGCGCGUAGGCGGUCAGCACAAGUCAGUUGUGAAAUCUCCGGGCUUAACCCGGAAACUGCCAUUGAUACUAAUGGUCUUGAAUUUUGUUGAGGUAGGCGGAAUAUGUCAUGUAGCGGUGAAAUGCUUAGAUAUGACAUAGAACACCGAUUGCGAAGGCAGCUUACUAAGCAAAUAUUGACGCUGAGGCACGAAAGCGUGGGGAUCAAACAGG